rnacentral:rRNA from 1 species
GUAAUAAUCCUGUAGUCGAAAAUGUUGUCUCUCUUGAGUGGAUCCUGAGUACGACGGAGCACGUGAAAUUCCGUCGGAAUCUGGGAGGACCAUCUCCUAAGGCUAAAUACUCUCUAGUGACCGAUAGUGAACCAGUACCGUGAGGGAAAGGUGAAAAGCACCCCGGAAGGGGAGUGAAAUAGAACCUGAAACCGUGUGCUUACAAGUAGUCAGAGCCCGUUAAUGGGUGAUGGCGUGCCUUUUGUAGAAUGAACCGGCGAGUUACGAUUUGAUGCAAGGUUAAGCAGUAAAUGUGGAGCCGUAGCGAAAGCGAGUCUGAAUAGGGCGUUUAGUAUUUGGUCGUAGACCCGAAACCAGGUGAUCUACCCUUGGUCAGGUUGAAGUUCAGGUAACACUGAAUGGAGGACCGAACCGACUUACGUUGAAAAGUGAGCGGAUGAACUGAGGGUAGCGGAGAAAUUCCAAUCGAACCUGGAGAUAGCUGGUUCUCUCCGAAAUAGCUUUAGGGCUAGCCUCAAGUGAUGAUUAUUGGAGGUAGAGCACUGUUUGGACGAGGGGCCCCUCUCGGGUUACCGAAUUCAGACAAACUCCGAAUGCCAAUUAAUUUAACUUGGGA